rnacentral:rRNA from 1 species
GAUGAACGCUGGCGGCGUGCCUAAUACAUGCAAGUCGAGCGAACAGAUGAGGAGCUUGCUCCUCUGACGUUAGCGGCGGACGGGUGAGUAACACGUGGAUAACCUACCUAUAAGACUGGGAUAACUUCGGGAAACCGGAGCUAAUACCGGAUAAUAUAUUGAACCGCAUGGUUCAAUAGUGAAAGACGGUUUUGCUGUCACUUAUAGAUGGAUCCGCGCCGCAUUAGCUAGUUGGUAAGGUAACGGCUUACCAAGGCAACGAUGCGUAGCCGACCUGAGAGGGUGAUCGGCCACACUGGAACUGAGACACGUUCCAGACUCCUACGGGAGGCAGCAGUAGGGAAUCUUCCGCAAUGGGCGAAAGCUUGACGGAGCAACGCCGCGUGAGUGAUGAAGGUCUUCGGAUCGUAAAACUCUGUUAUUAGGGAAGAACAAAUGUGUAAGUAACUAUGCACGUCUUGACGGUACCUAAUCAGAAAGCCACGGCUAACUACGUG